CGGCCGCAAGAAUACGAUUUCGUGCAGAUCGCCCUUCGUGAGAUACACGCAGGAACACACAUAUACACUCGACGCAGCACGGGCAAGGGUCCAGGAAGCAGAAGCAGUCGUGGGAACAGAAUGGUAUCUGUGUCCGCCAGCCGUGGUGGCGGCAGCGGUGGCAGCGGCAGCCUGCACGCUGGGCAUCCCAUCUCUCGCGUCGCGACGCUUCGGUUCAACGGAAAGGACACUGUCACAGUCGUGUGCGCUGGUGGAUCGUGUGUGUCGGUGCAGCCGGCGCCGCGGUGGUUGACCUGCUCGCUGGCAAGCAGUGGCGCCGUAGCCGGGGGACAUGGUGGACUCUACAGCGCUACCGCAAUGGCUGCAUCAUCUCCGCUGGGUAUGGCAAACUAUGUGGAUGGUAAUCCCCUCGGCGUGGCCGGGCAGGAGGCAGGAAAGGGUACUGGUGCCCUCUUGGCAGCAGUGCAGCGGUGCUCGGCCGAGCUUUCGCAUGAGUUCGGAGAAGGCGUGGCGCUCAUGACCAGUGAACCUGCUGCCGCUACAACUUCCUCGCACGCCUCGCCACUGUCGCCAGAGCAGCAAGUUGCCCUUAGCGCCGGCGCCGUUACGUGCCUCUCUGUCGCCUCCCUCCCUGGUACCACAGACACGGCCGUUGCAGUAGUCGGCACCACCGUUGGCACCGUGGCGCUGCUGCUUAUCGAGGGCAGCCGCGCCGUCUACAAGGUUGCCGAGCGCUCGCUGACGGAGUGGAGCAGCGGCGCUAUCACGGCACAGGAUGCCAUCGUGGACGUGGCCUUCAGCAUGGACCCGGCUGGACGGCCGGAGUUCGUCAGUGCCGCCAGUGCCGGGUGCGUCGUGGUCGUGGAUGUGCAACUGCUCUACCGGCCAUCUGGUAACGGCAGUCACAGCACCGACGAGGAGGUCGGAGACACGGCGACGGACGCGCCACCUGCCGUGGUGCACAGGGCAGAGUGGCAUCAGGAGACAGAGCCGUGGUCGAACUCGGCACUUCGGGCCAAGGCCGUGGAGGCGCUUGAGCAGUCGGACGCGCAGCUGAUGCAGCGCUCCUGCAGUGACGUCUUCGCCUGCUCUUUCGUAGAGGCCGAUGUGGUGCGCAUUUUGGCUCCCCAGCGCCUGCAGGCCGCUGUCGCGAUAGACGUGGCGCUUAUCGUGGUGCUCAGCAGCGGUGCGCUGCACUACGUGGAGCGGGUGGUCGAGGGAGGCUCGGUGCGCCUCCUUGCGGAGCAUCACUGGCAGCGGCUCGCCAAGGGUGCCGCCUUCACGUCGCACGCAUCCGCGGCAACACAGGGAGAGGACAGCGCUGCCGCGAACGACUUUUCUACAGAUGGUGCUUCCGUGCGCAUCCUCACCGACAGUCGUGCCGUUCCGCACGUCAUUUACCGCUACCGCCUCUCACCUUACCACGUCCAGGCAUGCCAAGACGGCGGCCAGACGGCAAGCGUCGGUGGAGGUAACUACGGAAUGGCGGCGUUGGCGCUGUCGUCCGCGACGGAGUCGGUGACGCAUGUGUGUGACGCGCACUUGCACUUCAGCGAGAAGGACGCCGCGUGCCAUGUCGUGCUGGCCGGCACGCAGCGUGUGCCUGUCAGUAAGGUCGGCUACAUGUCGCUUGCCUCACGUGUCGGCUCGCUGGGUCAUGCCCAGCAGCAGCACUCUGGGGUAACUGGGUGUCGGGCCCUCGCAUGGUGGGCCGUCGUGCAGAACGCCGUCCUGCCGCGUCAGACGUUUGACCGAUCUGCGCUGGAACGGCAGAAGCUCCAGCAGCAGCAGCCACACAAUGGGCACGCCUUCUCGCCGUUUCGCACCAACGCUGGAUCACCGCCCUUCACGGUGCAUGUGCAGAGCAACACGAUGGCCUUACCGUGUGGGCUCGGCGCCUGUCCUGCCUCCGCGCUGACAUCUCCGGCGACCUCGUCGCCUGCCACAGCUGGGGCUGGUGUGGCUAGCGGCGUCAGUGGGGUCGGUCCCGGUCAAGGCAGUGGCUUUGCAGCGGCCUUCAUGCUCACAGACGUCCUUGUCUUAGCGUCCGGCCAGGAACUGUACGUUGGUGACCUCCGCGAUGUGCCGCGGAGCGCCAGGACCCUACCGGUGCUGCGCCCGCUGCGCUCCUUCGGCAGUGUCGUCGAGGGAAUUACCGCCGGGCCGUACAUGGACGCGCGAGCGGUGCUGGUGGCCACCGGCUCUCGUGUGGCCCCCGUGUUGCUUGUGUAAGUGCGCUCUCGUUCAGAUGAAAGCAACGUGAAGGCGCUCGCGCGCAGUCCGGCCAGAAGGGCACAGACACGUGCACGCGUUCGCUUGUCCCCCCUCCCUCCCCCCCCCAGCUCUGCCGUGAUGGCGACCGCGUACGUACUAGAUAGCUGUGCACGUGCGUGUAUGGUGGUGGGAAGGGGAGAGCUGAUCUUGUUCUAAUCGACCUCCCCCACCCCCAGCGCCCACAGCGGCGCGCGCAUUGUGCGCCCCCUCGCGCCGUAAGUGAUAGAUAAAAACCCCAAGUUGUGUAAGGCGGGCACAGUCGCUGAGGAUGCCGAGAGCGAGUGGCAGGCGUUGUAUGUGUGUGUGUGUGUGUGUGUGUGUGUGUGGAAGGUUGUGAGUGCUGCGCUUCCUCCCCCUGCCCGCCGCCACAGAGAGGGGGAGCUCGACGAGCUAUGAAUGCGUGUGCGCGCGCAUGAUCGCUAUUACGCCAAUGACGCGCAGUGCACGAGCAGUGCCCUACUGCCCCCCUCCCCUCCUCACCCCCGCCCACUCGUGGCACAUGUGUAUCUCUCUCAGCACGUGCGAGUGACUGCUGUGAUGCCCACAUCCCGAUGCAUACUCUCCCCCCACCACCACCGCCACACCCUCCUCUCCCUAUCAUCUGAUGUUUUUUUUUUGUGCUCGGGUACGUUGGUGGUGCACACAACGGUGUCUUGUGCCUCUCCACCCAACCCACCAAAUCCCCGCGUAUCUGCGUCGGCCCACACGACACACGGCUCAG
rnacentral:misc_RNA from 1 species